UGUUGCUGGAGAGUGGCCUUUAUUCAUUCACUUUCUGCUACUUAUCCAGGUCUGGAUUGCAGUGGCAGCAGAUUAAGCAGCUCAUUCCACACUUCCCUAUCCUUGGCCAAGUCCUCCAACUCUUGCUGGG